CGGAGUGUAGCGCAGUCUGGUAGCGCACCUGGUUUGGGACCAGGGGGUCCCUUUCACUCCGACCA
rnacentral:tRNA from 1 species